GCGCUCACUUUGGCAGCACAUAUACUAAAACUAUAAUGAUACAGAGAUUAGCAUGACCUCUGUGCAAGGAUACCACAUAAAUUUGUGAAGCAUUCCAUAUUUAA
rnacentral:snRNA from 1 species